ACACAUGGAGAUGUGUAUUGGGUUAUGCAUGUUUAUGGUUUACACAAAGCGUAUAAGGAAAGUUUAAGCAGUUGUACAAAGCCGAAGGGUUCUCCGACUUACGAUGGAUAAAUUGAGGGUCGUAAAAGCUUGGGUGCGAGCAAGUAGGAGGAGAAUUUCGAUCGAAGUACAGAUUUUUCUUGAAUUCGAGGAUAAUGAUGUUAUUACCAGCUGAUUAAGGAGGAGUAGUGUAAGUGUCAGAUGGGUACGAACGUCAUCUUGUGACAGCAUCACCUUUGUUUGGCUAAAGUACAAGAGAACUGCAGCAUCUAAGACUACAUGUACAUCGACUUUGAAUAAUCUAUCCGGUGUAUCCUCAAAAAGGCAACUCAAAUACAGAAAGUGCAUAUAAUUUGGAAAAGAGACCAUCAAUCCACUGAGGGGUAUCGCAUGAAAGCAAUGAUUAUAGAAUAUUGUAAGGCUGGAGGAGUUAUAG